rnacentral:rRNA from 1 species
CAGUCGCCGCGGUAACACAGAGGGUGCGAGCGUUAAUCGGAUUUACUGGGCGUAAAGCGUGCGUAGGCGGCUUCUUAAGUCGGAUGUGAAAUCCCUGAGCUUAACUUAGGAAUUGCAUUCGAUACUGGGAAGCUAGAGUAUGGGAGAGGAUGGUAGAAUUCCAGGUGUAGCGGUGAAAUGCGUAGAGAUCUGGAGGAAUACCGAUGGCGAAGGCAGCCAUCUGGCCUAAUACUGACGCUGAGGUACGAAAGCAUGGGGAGCAAACAGGAUUAGAGACCCCCGUAGUCCCUGUCUCUUAUAC